UACGAAGGGGGCUAGCGUUGCUCGGAAUGACUGGGCGUAAAGGGCGCGUAGGCGGAUGGCACAGUCAGAUGUGAAAUUCCCGGGCUUAACCUGGGGGCUGCAUUUGAUACGUGUUGUCUAGAGUGAGGAAGAGGGUUGUGGAAUUCCCCAGUGUAGAGGUGAAAUUCGUAGAUAUUCGGAAGAACACCAGUGGCGAAGGCGACUUACUGGACACAUAUUGACGCUGAGGUGCGAAAGCGUGGGGAGCAAACAGG
rnacentral:rRNA from 1 species